rnacentral:rRNA from 1 species
UCUGGCUUUAGGUCUGGGACAACCACUGGAAACGGUGGCUAAUACUGGAUGUGCCGAAAGGUGAAAGGUUAACUGCCUGAAGAUGAGCUCGCGUCUGAUUAGCUAGUAGGUAGUGUAAUGGACUACCUAGGCGACGAUCAGUAGCUGGUCUGAGAGGACGAUCAGCCACACUGGGACUGAGACACGGCCCAGACUCCUACGGGAGGCAGCAGUGGGGAAUUUUCCGCAAUGGGCGAAAGCCUGACGGAGCAAUACCGCGUGAGGGAGGAAGGCUCUUGGGUCGUAAACCUCUUUUCUCAGGGAAGAACACAAUGACGGUACCUGAGGAAUAAGCAUCGGCUAACUCCGUGCCAGCAGCCGCGGUAAUACGGAGGAUGCAAGCGUUAUCCGGAAUGAUUGGGCGUAAAGCGUCCGCAGGUGGCGAUGUAAGUCUGCUGUUAAAGAGUCUAGCUCAACUAGAUAAAAGCAGUGGAAACUACAUAGCUAGAGUACGUUCGGGGCAGAGGGAAUUCCUGGUGUAGCGGUGAAAUGCGUAGAGAUCAGGAAGAACACCGGUGGCGAAGGCGCUCUGCUAGGCCGUAACUGACACUGAGGGACGAAAGC